rnacentral:rRNA from 1 species
UACGGGGGGGAGCAAGCGUUGUUCGGAAUUACUGGGCGUAAAGAGCUCGUAGGUGGUUUGUCGCGUUGUUCGUGAAAACCGGGGGCUUAACCCUCGGCGUGCGGGCGAUACGGGCAGACUUGAGUACUUGCAGGGGAGACUGGAAUUCCUGGUGUAGCGGUGGAAUGCGCAGAUAUCAGGAGGAACACCGGUGGCGAAGGCGGGUCUCUGGGCAGUAACUGACGCUGAGGAGCGAAAGCGUGGGGAGCGAACAGG